AGGAUACCUCAGUGCUUCCAAGCUUUGGCUGUUACCACCAAGGCGUCUAUGAACACGGGUGUACAGGUUCUGAGGAUACAGCCUCUAGUCUUCUUCACCCGACCCUCCUCUGAGCUCUCCCACAUCUGUGCUGCUCUGUUACCACCCAGUCUUGCCCAGUCUCCUGCCAGGACUCUCCCUGCCCAGGCCACAGGCUGGCCUUUUGCCCCAGACGCAGCAAACUGAGAAGAUGUUGGACCACUCAUCCUGCUUCCUCCUGGGAAAAUCUGAGCCCUGAUCUCUCCAGGUGGCCAUUGGUUGACUCACUGGCACCCCCUGCUGUCGGAGAUGUAGAAACCUGAAAAUGAUACAAGAAGAAAGUGCCAAAACCUGGAAGCUGUGUGCAAAAAUGUCCAUAGCAUUUUAUUCAGAGCAGACACAAAUUAGAAUAUUUCCCAGUGUCCCUCUACAGGAAGGCAGGCACACAACGGUAACUUCACAGUGCAUCACAGCAUCAAAACGUGUGGUGGGCAAAGCUUCUCAUCACAAGGGGGUCGGGAAGGAAAGGCAGAGCUGAGAGAUCUAGAACAAUACAAAUACUUCUUUU
rnacentral:lncRNA from 1 species